UGGGGAAUAUUGCACAAUGGGGGAAACCCUGAUGCAGCAACGCCGCGUGAAGGAAGACGGUUUUUCGGAUUGUAAACUUCUUUUCUUAGUGAAGAAACAAAUGACGGUAGCUAAGGAAUAAGCAUCGGCUAACUACGUGCCAGCAGCCGCGGUAAUACGUAGGAUGCGAGCGUUAUCCGGAUUUACUGGGUGUAAAGGGAGCGCAGGCGGGACUGCAAGUUGGAUGUGAAAUACCGCAGCUUAACUGCGGAGCUGCAUCCAAAAACUGUAGUUCUUGAGUGGAGUAGAGGCAAGCGGAAUUCCGAGUGUAGCGGUGAAAUGCGUAGAUAUUCGGAGGAACACCAGUGGCGAAGGCGGCUUGCUGGGCUCUAACUGACGCUGAGGCUCGAAAGUGUGGGGAGCAAACAGGAUUAGAUACC
rnacentral:rRNA from 1 species